rnacentral:rRNA from 1 species
AUUGAACGCUGGCGGCAGGCCUAACACAUGCAAGUCGAACGGUAGCACAGAGAGCUUGCUCUCGGGUGACGAGUGGCGGACGGGUGAGUAAUGUCUGGGAAACUGCCCGAUGGAGGGGGAUAACUACUGGAAACGGUAGCUAAUACCGCAUAAUGUCGCAAUACCAAAGAGGGGGACCUUCGGGCCUCUUGCCAUCGGAUGUGCCCAGAUGGGAUUAGCUUGUUGGUGAGGUAAUGGCUCACCAAGGCGACGAUCCCUAGCUGGUCUGAGAGGAUGACCAGCCACACUGGAACUGAGACACGGUCCAGACUCCUACGGGAGGCAGCAGUGGGGAAUAUUGCACAAUGGGCGCAAGCCUGAUGCAGCCAUGCCGCGUGUGUGAAGAAGGCCUUCGGGUUGUAAAGCACUUUCAGCGGGGAGGAAGGCGAUACGGUUAAUAACCGUGUUGAUUGACGUUACCCGCAGAAGAAGCACCGGCUAACUCCGUG